rnacentral:lncRNA from 1 species
AACGAGAUACAAGAAAUCUGAAUUUUUCGACAACUCCAUAAUGUUGCAUCACCUCCAUAAGUGUUUCCUUAUCCUUGUAAAUCUGAUUUUCAGCUAUAAACAAAUUAGAAAGGUCACUGAUUACUUCAUUUUCUUCAUCAUUAUUUUCGUCAACAACUCCACCCAAAUUCAUUCCUACCAAGCGGAUGGAGUUAUUUGAGUAUAAAUAAAAAUUAGUUAGUGAUCUACUAACAUCAGAAUGUCUCCUAUCCACAACAACUAUAGAAUCCUGAUUAUCCAUUGCUAUAUUCCUCAGAGUUAUGCACAAUGGAUAUUUCGUAAAGAAAUUUACAUUAGCUUUCUUUUGAUCUAAAAAUACCCGCACACCCACAUCAUUAUGGAUACUUACAGGUGGACAUCGAUCACUAACUAUAUAUUUUAUCUCUAUAUUAUUAAUAUUAACAUCCAUCUUAAGUUGCGAUGCUAUCGCACUUACUAGACCACUAUACAGACUAGAAGAUUCAUAUAUAAUCCCAUCCAUCUGAAAAUCAACAUAUUCCCCUGUUUCAUUAAAAAAAUAACAGUUAGUCUUAUAUAAUACAAAUCAAUAAUAAAUAUGUUGUAUUUAUAUUAACUUUUCAUACCAAAGAUAAUACAAAUUUCAUCCAAAACUUCAUUCUACUCACACAAAAUUAUACACAAUCGUCAUUACUUAUUCAUACAAAUAUCAUUCCAAACAGUAUCCAGAAUUCAUAUCAUAAAACACAUUUCAUAAAAAAAUAACAUUUCACAUUUCAUACCAAAUAAUACACAUUUCAUACAAAUCAUUAUACUUCUUACUCAUAUUUUUUACACAAUACUGAAUUAUUUUUCAUACCAAUUUCAUUCUUCUCACACAAAUUUAUAUACAAAUGCCGCUAAUUAUUCAUACCAAUAUCAUUUCAAUCAGUCUACCAGAAUUCACACCAUAAAACACAUUAUAUAAAAAAUAACAUUUAACAUUUCAUACCAACUUAAUACACUUUUCAUACAAAUCAUCAUACUUUUUACUCAUAUUCUUUACAAAAUAGUAAAUACAUUUUCAUAUCAAUAUCAUUCUAGUUACAGUACCAAAUUCAUUCCAACAUAUACAUUUUAUUUAUAUUUUCAGGAAAAAAAACAAUAAUCCAUAUUAUAAUUUUAAUCUGCAUAUCGAAUCUAUCUCAUUAUUAUUGUCAAAUUGACUAAAGAAAUAACAGUUUCAUAACAAUGUUACAACAAAUUUCAUACUUUUUUUUCCACAAAUUUCAUAACUUUACAACGAUAAGACUAUUAAUAUUCGAUACAUUUAUAUUCAAAUCAUUCAUAUAUUAAGCCAAUUUCGCACGAAAUCAUGUUAUAGAAAGUAUACAAAAUAGCAACAAAAAAAAUAAAAUAGAAACGUACCAACAAAAUCAGAGAAUGUCAUUAACUACAGUUUCACAAAAAUUAGUACGUAUUAUCAACAAAAUGGAUGGUUUAUACAAAAAACAUCACAACUUAAAUCUAGUAUACAUAAACAAAAUCACAAAAUGUGAUUUAGAGUUUCAUUGCUCUUUCUUUUUUUUUACAUUUCAGUAAUAUACAAAUACAAAUCAUAAAGAAUACUAACUUGAAGGAUCCCAUCUAUCACCAUGUUUAAUUAAUACUGAUAAGAAGUCCUCCAUCACAACAAAAUGAAGAUUUUUCAAACAAAAAAAAUUGGAUUUACUCGUCAAUGACAAUAAUUCUGGAAAAAAAAAUGAAGAGAGAGAAACGUUGAAGAAAAUGGAUAAAAUCAGAGUUUUAAAUUAAUUUUAACAGAUUAGAGUGAAUGAAGGAAGAUAAAUAUUCCUAAUUAGUUUGAAUCUCCUAAAUUUAUGUUAAUUAACAAUUAUCAUCAAUCAAUUCAAAAUUAAUUAAUACACCUAUUUCCGGUUUUUUUUACUUCAAAAUCGAUUUAUUUUUCUUUUUGAUCUUUUUAUUUUUUUCAAAACAGAUUUUUACAAUUAAUUUUAAAAACUCUUUUUUUUUAAAUAAAAUGUUAUAACCUGAAAUUUUUUAUUGUUACAACUUGAAAGUUAUAUUCUACUGCUAUAACUUGAAAAUAUUAGUCUAAUAAUUGUCAUUUAUAAAAUUUUCAAUUAAAUAUGAAAAUGAAAGAGGAGAACAAAAAAAAAUGUCACCAAUUAAUAAUGUAAAUCCGCAUUAUUUCAUUUUGCUUUUGGGAUCAACCAAAGCUCAACUGAAAUAAUGGGCCUUAUGGCCCAACACAACUCAUCCCUGCCCUUUUAAAGUUUGAAAAAUAUUAGAUUUGACCCGCUCCGUCCUACCCCGUCCCAUUUAAGUAGUGUCCUAUCUUGCCCUGUUAAACCCUUGUCCUGCUUUAUUGCCAUCCCUAUAUUUGGCCUUGCACUAUCACAAAUAAGUCACAUUUGCUCUUUGAUAUACUUUUUCAAUAUAUUUGCUCUUUUCAUUCAAUUUUAGGGUCAUUUUACCCUUACGACAUUAAAUCUUCGUCUUCUUAAUAUAUUGUCCAGUUUCUUCAAAACAAUUUGUCAUAUCUAUCCUUAUACUCUAGAAAAAGAUCAUAUUUACCCAUAUAACGUUAAAUCCUCAUGUCCCACCUUUAUUUUCUUAUGUGAUUUAUGAGUUUUUUUUUUCAAUUAAAUCUAUUUGCCCAUUUACAUGUAAACUGAUAAAGGUGCUCAAUAGGAUUAUUUUAUUUUAUUUUAUUUUUGUACUUUUUCUCCUAUGAUUUUCUAUUGAUAAAUUCAAGUAUAUAUAUAUAUAUAUAUAUAUAGGAAAUAAACUUUGAAUCAAUUAAUGAAAUGAUAAUUUUCCCGAUUACAAACUUGGAUGUGAUUCAAUAAAUAUAAUCUGCUGCACAAAUGGCUUGCAGCUGAAAAGGAACUAUGUAGAAACAUAGUGAUCGAAUGAUCGGGAGUAUUCUGGUAAGCAAAAAUCUAGAGAGAAUGUAGUAUUGAUCGACGUUUUUUAAUUUGAGAUAAUUAUCUUUUAUUUGGAAUAACUGUAAUUUUUUAAUUUAGAAAAACAAUGUAAUAAAUAAAACGGGUAGGAGCAACAAUUAUCUAUUACAAUAAAAGAAGUUGGAUUUAAUUUUGACAAGAUUUGAUUGGUGAAAUCAUAUCGGCCAUAAAUAAACAAUGAAAUUGUUGAGUUUUAAUUUUUUAGUGGUAAGGACCCGGUUGGCCCCAAGUUCUAUUUGGGAAUAUUUAGGAAAAACAUGGGAAAAAUUUAAUCGUUGGCAUUUGGCCACAUAACUUAGUGAAUUUUUUGCCAAGAAUCCCAAGUUCUCAAAUAUUAGAAAAAACUAGUUUUUGGAAACUUGAAAAAUAUUUGGAAACUUUAAGAAAUUCAAAAAUUACCUCAAACUUUUAUAUUUUUAAUAGAUUGUAAUUAUAACCGAAUCGAACUAAUUAUCCACCACAUGGUUAUGGUAUGUAAAUUAUGAAUUUCAUUUUUGAUAGUCUUUUAGAAAGAAGGAAAAUAAUAAAAAAAAGUAAAGCAAAAGUAUAAUUUGAAUUGUGUUUUUUAAAAUUUUGUAGAAAACUAUUAUGUUGUUGAUGCUGAUCUUCGGAACACGAAACGAUUUCUAGCUCCAUACAAAGGAAUGCGACAUCAUUUGUAGGACUACAUGGGAAGUGAAAGAGAGCCUAAGAAUGACAGAGUUAUUUAACUAAGGACAUGCCUCUUUGCGUAAUGUAAUUGAAAGAACAUUUGGUGCGUGGUAAAGUAGAUUCAGAAUACUGUGACAAGGCAUGAACAACUAUGAAUUAGACAUGCAAGUGAAAAUAGUAGUUGCUUGUGCUGUAUUACAUAAUUUUUUGCGUGAAAAUCAAAGCAAUGAUGAAAUAUUUAAUGAACAUGAACGUGAUGAUAUGGUUACUGAUGAAGAUGACGAACAAUCAACUCAAAGUAACAAUAUUAUUUCGUCUUCUCAGUCAUCUAAAAGCUUGUCGGGAGGAGAUUGUUGUAGACAUUAAAAUUUUGUGGGACUACAAGACGUGUUCAAUUCGAAUUGGGACUCUAGAAGGUGUGUUCAGAUUCAAUUAAAAUUCUCGGAGUCUACUCAACCCUAAACUCUAGUCCAUGCCUAUAUAAAUGGUACUAAAUUCCCUUAAAGGGCAUCUCGAAAAUUCCACAAGUUGAUGGAAUAUUCAUAUAGAUGUCAAAUCUAAAAGAAUAGUUUGUUAUUAUAUCCUCCGGAGGUUGUUAUAAUUAUAACUGAAUCAAUGACAAGUUUGAAUAUGCAUUAAUGUAUUGCUCUUGUAUAUAUUAUUAUUUUGUUGUUGUUGAUUGUUAUCAAUUAUGUUAUAAGGUUAUUUUUAACAGAACAUAUUCAUUAUAAAUAGAUAAUACAAAUUUAUGGAUAUUUUUAAUAGUUUUUAAAACUUAUGUGUAUAAAUCAUAUUUUUUUGAAAGAGUCAAACAUUUUUGGGAAACUUGGGGCCAAACACAGGCUAUUAACUUGGAAAAAACUUGACUCAAGUAUUAUUUGACAAAAAUACUUGGAAACUUGGGGACAAACGCUAGCUAAAAGAGUUUAAAUAAGUUAGUAAAUUAAUUAAGGGAAAAAUAUGUCCAAGAGGAUCCACAUAGGAAAAUUAAAGUGAGCCAUGAGAAUUUAACGCAAUAGAAAUAAAUAUGAUUAUUAGAGUAUAAAAGUAAAUAUAACCCCUAAUUUGAACGAAGAGGACAAAUAUGUUAAGGACAUGCGAAUUUAACAUCGUAAUUCGUAAGCAUAAAUAUGACCUUUUUGAAAGUACAAGGAUAAAUAUGAUCCAAAAGUUGAAUAAAAAGGCAAAUAUAUUAAGGACAUGAAGAUUUAAUAUCGAAGGAAUAAAUAUGACUCUUUUUUAAUACAAAGAUAAAUAUGAUUUUAAAAUUAAACAAAAAUGACAAAUAUAUUUUUAAAGUAUAAUGAAGGGCAUAUAUGACUUAUUUGUGACUUGUAAGAGCAUAAGGACAAAUAUAACCCUUUUCUAUUUAAUAAUAUCUCUGGUGUGUGAGUGUAGGGCAUUUGAAAUGCUAAAGAACCGUUCGUUCAACUAAUCAUUCCGAACAUGUAUAGAAAAUUAUAGCUCGUGGCCAAGUAAGAAAUUGCCACACCUUCAUUUCAUGUUUUGUUUGAUACACUUUCUUUUUUAAAUCUAAAGAAAAAUACCUUGCUUUUUUUUUUUUUUAUGACAAGGGAAACCAUAGCCGCUACCCUUUGGGUGCGCACAGGGUAAAACCUCUGCUCAUAUGCAAUAGCUCGCAAACCACAUAGGAGAGGUAACUCACACCAGGUAAGCCUGGUGUGACGAGCUCAACCCAGAAGACAAACCCCUUGCUUUCGCUGGCAAGGGGUUUCGAACUUGAGACCUCCAACAUGGAAGUCCCAAGCCCAAACCACUGGGCCACCCCGAAGGGUCCUUGCUCUUUGAAAACAAUUAAUCUUACCAUUCUCAUUUUCCCCUUACGUAGUGAGUAAAUAAGAUUUCUUGCCCUCUUAGAAAUUGAAUUUUAGAAAAUAAUCUUUUCACAUCUCUCAUUGUAAAAAUGAAGAUCUCUCGUAAAAACAACUUAAAGGCGAAAAACAGUUUGUGAAGGACUAGAAAACCAUCUUUUCUGAUUUAAACAAAACAAGGACGUUCCUAUUUUCAAAUGAACAGAUAGGCAAGGAAAGUAUGUCAACAUUACAUCCCAACAUACAUGUAAGCAAUGACACAACCAUUUGGUAAACACUAAAAAUAACAAAUAACAAAGAUGAAUUUCACUUAGGAUUUUGGUUAAAAAUAAUGUUGUAAGUGGCCUCGAUCUAUCUCUAAAAAGAAAUGAUUAAGACAGAGCUAGUUUGAAUGAGUCAUAUCGAAUAAGUUUUAAAACCACAACCGCCCAUUGGAAUGUAGUAUUACUAUUCAUAUUUCCAUCACCCACUGCCCAUGGUUUCUUCAAAACAACGAAUUGCAAUUUAUAAGGAAAUACCAAACUAACGUACGUUACCAAAAGAACAUAAACAAGUCCAAGUUGACUCAUUAGGAUAAUAGAAAAGAGAAAAACACAUGCAUGCAAUGAACUUUUAUGUGACAUGUAAGCAUUCUAUCAGGAAAAUUCUUACCUACAUAUCAAAGCUAAACUAAUAAUUCAGAGAUAAACUAAUAAAUCGCACCAAAUUUAGGGGUGUUUUUUAUGUCCUCUUUGUAAGACAUAAAUUGACUAUAGAUUUGUCAAAACAAAAAAAUAAUAGAACCAAUCACAUGGCUCUUGAUAUGAAGUGAAUUUGGACUCACUACUAUUCCGAUCCUUUCUCCUUCAAAAGAGGUAAUUAAUUAAGUUACAACUGCAACUACCUGAUAUUCAAAUCUAACUGCUUUUUUUUUAAAAAGAAAAAUAAAAUUGUCCCACCAUGUAAAUAAUAUUCUACUACUACGGCUAUAUAUAGUCCGGCAAUUGCCUUCCUUUUCUUCAUACUGAACUUAAAAAAAACAGAAGAAGAUGGAGAUUCCGGUUAUCGACUUCAGUAAGCUUGAAGGUGAGGAGAGAAGUGCAACCAUGUCACUACUCCAUCAGGCUUGUGAAAAAUGGGGCUUUUUUAUGGUAAUGAAUGAACGCAUGUAUAAUUCUGUUUUUUAAGUAGUACUAAGCACUUUUGAUAAGAUGCUAAUAUUGAUAAGAAACUAAUGCAGAUAGAGAAUCAUGGAAUUGACACUUACUUGAUGGACAAUGUGAAGCAGCUCGUGAAUCAGCACUACGAAGCCAACAUGAAGAAGCGAUUUUAUGAAUCAGAGCUACCUAUGAGUUUAGAGAAGAAAGGAAACAUCAGCAACACAGACUGGGAAAGCACAUUCUUUGUUUGGCAUCGUCCAACUUCCAACAUCUAUGAGAUUCAAGGUCUCUCAAAGGAACUUUGGUAAGUCACCAACACCACAGCAUAAAGCUUCAACAAUUCAAUAAAUAUGCUAGAAUUAAUGAGCACAGACGUACAACUUACCGAUGUCCUGCACUAAGAAUAUUUCAUUAUUAUUGAAUUUCACAUUUGAAGUAUGUUGCGUGCAGCAAAGCAGUAGAUGACUAUAUUGAUCAGCUGAUCGAACUUGCAGAAAAUCUUUCAGAACUAAUGUGUGAGAACCUUGGCCUAGAGAAGAGUUGCAUCAAAGAAGCAUUUUCAGGCAGCAAGGGUCCUUCUGUUGGAACAAAAGUAGCGAUAUAUCCUCAAUGUCCU